AAAGAAAGGAAAUGGACUGCGAAAAAUAAGACAAAGAGGGAGGGAGACCUGGAAAGUAAGGCAUAUCUGUCUUUCAUACGCCUCACUUUCUUGGUCUCCCUCCCUCUUUGUCUUAUUUUUCGCAGUCCAUUUCCUUUCUUU